UUGCAGGACAAAUUCGAGCAUCUUAAAAUGAUUCAACAGGAGGAGAUAAGGAGGCUCGAGGAAGAGAAAAAACAACUGGAAGGAGAAAUCAUAGAUUUUUAUAAAAUGAAAGCUGCCUCUGAAGCACUGCAGACUCAGCACUGAUACAAAGAAAGACAAACAUCCUGAUCCAUAUGAAUUCCUCUUAUUAAGAAAAAUAAAGCAUCCAGGAUUCAAUGAAGAACUGACUAUCACCUUGUUAAUCAUUCAGAAACAUGUUGCAGACUUAAGCCAUUUUUGAUAUAGAUACUGAAACAAUUACUUGCUAAGAGCAAACUUGAAGGUAUGGAUAAGGCCCUGAGUCAUCUUCCUGAGCUGAAUGAUAGUUAAGCUGAAUGUACGUAUAAAAUAUGAUUUUCUAACCACUUGCUCGCCAACAAGGAAGACUUUUAAGUAGAGCAGAACCUGAAUAGACAAGACAUUUCUUUCUUUUGGUAGAAAAUGAUUUACCAUCACUGUCUAGUUAAUUGUAGACUAGGUAAUUUUAACUUUGUGAUUUAUUGCCAGAGACAUUUUCUUCUGUACUGUAAAGUGUGUGUCAAAAAAAAGUAGCGAUUUUGGAGGAUUAGGGGAGUUUGAUAAAUUGCCUGCAAUUCUGGCAGUAUGAACUGCAUAUUAAUUUCUCUCUUUCAAGAACAUUUUUAUUUAUUAAUUCCUUACAAAAACUCCCUGAACUUUGGAACAGCUCUCAAUUGCCUGUAUUC
rnacentral:lncRNA from 1 species